rnacentral:rRNA from 1 species
GAUGAACGCUGGCGGCGUGCCUAACACAUGCAAGUCGAACGAGAAAGUGGAGCAAUCCAUGAGUACAGUGGCGACCGGGUGAGUAACACGUGACUAACCUACCCUGGAGUGGGGAAUAACCUUCCGAAAGGAGGGCUAAUACCGCAUAAAGUCCUGAGGCUGAGAUGCCAUAGGACCAAAGGAGCAAUCCGUUUUGGGAGGGGGUCGCGGCAGAUUAGCUAGUUGGUGAGGUAACGGCUCACCAAGGCGGUGAUCUGUAGCCGGCCUGAGAGGGCGAACGGCCACACUGGAACUGAAACACGGUCCAGACUCCUACGGGAGGCAGCAGUGGGGAAUUUUGCGCAAUGGGGGAAACCCUGACGCAGCAACGCCGCGUGGAGGAUGAAGGUCUUUGGAUUGUAAACUCCUUUCGAUCGGGACGAUUAUGACGGUACCGGAAGAAGAAGCCCCGGCUAACUUCGUGCCAGCCGCCGCCGUAA